AAACCAUGCUACUCUAGUAUUUGUCGUCUCGCUCACAGUCCUCAACUCUGCUUCUCUGCAAGUACAACCAACAGGAGGCAGAAAAAUAUUAACUAAAAGAAAGUGUUUAGGAGUUCAGUGCAAUCAGAUAGACUAGACCCAUUAAUAAAUAACAAUUUACCUGAUUUUGAGAUAGACUAGAUUCUCAUGGAUGGCCUCCACUGCUCCCUCAAGUUUUUUCAGCUCAAGUUCAACACCUUUACUGUGGAAAGUUUGUUUCG
rnacentral:misc_RNA from 1 species